UCUGGUUGAUUCUGCCAGUAGUCAUAUGCUUGUCUCAAAGAUUAAGCCAUGCAUGUCUAAGUAUAAGCACUUUAUACUGUGAAACUGCGAAUGGCUCAUUAAAUCAGUUAUCGUUUAUUUGAUAGUACCUUACUACAUGGAUACCUGUGGUAAUUCUAGAGCUAAUACAUGCUGAAAACCUCGACUUCGGAAGGGGUGUAUUUAUUAGAUAAAAAACCAAUGCCCUUCGGGGCUCCUUGGUGAAUCAUAAUAACUUAACGAAUCGCAUGGCCUUGCGCCGGCGAUGGUUCAUUCAAAUUUCUGCCCUAUCAACUUUCGAUGGUAGGAUAGUGGCCUACCAUGGUGGCAACGGGUAACGGGGAAUUAGGGUUCGAUUCCGGAGAGGGAGCCUGAGAAACGGCUACCACAUCCAAGGAAGGCAGCAGGCGCGCAAAUUACCCAAUCCCGACACGGGGAGGUAGUGACAAUAAAUACUGAUACGGGGCUCUUUUGGGUCUCGUAAUUGGAAUGAGUACAAUCUAAAUCCCUUAACGAGGAACAAUUGGAGGGCAAGUCUGGUGCCAGCAGCCGCGGUAAUUCCAGCUCCAAUAGCGUAUAUUAAAGUUGUUGCAGUUAAAAAGCUCGUAGUUGAACCUUGGGUCUGGCUGGCCGGUCCGCCUCACCGCGAGUACUGGUCCGGCUGGACCUUUCCUUCUGGGGAAUCUCAUGGCCUUCACUGGCUGUGGGGGGAACCAGGACUUUUACUGUGAAAAAAUUAGAGUGUUCAAAGCAGGCCUUUGCUCGAAUACAUUAGCAUGGAAUAAUAGAAUAGGACGUGCGGUUCUAUUUUGUUGGUUUCUAGGACCGCCGUAAUGAUUAAUAGGGAUAGUCGGGGGCGUCAGUAUUCAGCUGUCAGAGGUGAAAUUCUUGGAUUUGCUGAAGACUAACUACUGCGAAAGCAUUCGCCAAGGAUGUUUUCAUUAAUCAGGGAACGAAAGUUAGGGGAUCGAAGACGAUCAGAUACCGUCGUAGUCUUAACCAUAAA
rnacentral:rRNA from 1 species